ACUACAACUCCGCUGUUGCGCAUCGCACUGUCAAUUAACAGCUCAAAUAAACCAAACAAAAACUGCGACAAAUAUAGUGAUCAAAGUUGCCAUCAUGUAAUGUAGACGAAACCCUUUAAAAGCAUAUCUAUGUUGCAAUGACAAAAUUGGGAACACCGAUGGAUGUGUGUUAAUGCACGGUCGCAUUUCGAGUAUGCAUAUCAUAAUAGCUUUUAAUAAUAUUCGACAGAAAACCACGAGAGAAGGUUAAUAUGAGGUAACUUUAUAAAUAUAAACUCGGUAGCUAAAAUUUAUGUGCAAAAAUAUUCCAACUUGCGUAGCGUCACAAUGUCAAGCAACUCUGAAUUAUAUUUAUCUCUACGAUAGAUGCAGAAUGUAUAGAAAAGCAUACGCGCGUGAAAAUAUAAGCAACACUAUACCAAAAAA